rnacentral:rRNA from 1 species
CAGCCGCCGCGGUAAUACGUAGGGGGCGAGCGUUGUCCGGAAUUACUGGGCGUAAAGGGCGUGUAGGCGGCCUGUUAAGUCAGGGGUGAAAGACCGGGGCUCAACCCCGGGGGUGCCUCUGAAACUGGCGGGCUUGAGUGCUCUAGAGGGCAGUGGAAUUCCCGGUGUAGCAGUGAAAUGCGUAGAGAUCGGGAGGAACACCAGUGGCGAAGGCGGCUGCCUGGGGAGUCACUGACGCUGAGGCGCGAAAGCUAGGGGAGCAAGCAGGAUUAGAUACCCUGGUAGUCCUAGCCGUAAACGAUGAGCGCUAUGUGUGAGGGGUAUCGACCCCCCUCGUGCAGUAGCUAACGCAUUAAGCGCUCCGCCUGGGGAGUACGGCCGCAAGGUUGAAACUUAAAGGAAUUGGCGGG